UACGUAGGGUGCGAGCGUUGUCCGGAAUUAUUGGGCGUAAAGAGCUUGUAGGCGGUUUGCCGCGUCUGCCGUGAAAAUCCGGGGCUCAACCCCGGACUUGCGGUGGGUACGGGCAGACUAGAGUGUGGUAGGGGAGACUGGAAUUCCUGGUGUAGCGGUGAAAUGCGCAGAUAUCAGGAGGAACACCGAUGGCGAAGGCAGGUCUCUGGGCCACUACUGACGCUGAGAAGCGAAAGCGUGGGGAGCGAACAGG
rnacentral:rRNA from 1 species